rnacentral:rRNA from 1 species
GACGAACGCUGGCGGCGUGCUUAACACAUGCAAGUCGAACGGGGUGUUUAUUUCGGUAAACACCAAGUGGCGAACGGGUGAGUAACGCGUAAGCAAUCUACCUUCAAGAUGGGGACAACACUUCGAAAGGGGUGCUAAUACCGAAUGAAUGUAAGAGUAUCGCAUGAGACACUUACUAAAGGAGGCCUCUGAAAAUGCUUCCGCUUGAAGAUGAGCUUGCGUCUGAUUAGCUAGUUGGUGAGGGUAAAGGCCCACCAAGGCGACGAUCAGUAGCCGGUCUGAGAGGAUGAACGGCCACAUUGGGACUGAGACACGGCCCAGACUCCUACGGGAGGCAGCAGUGGGGAAUCUUCCGCAAUGGGCGAAAGCCUGACGGAGCAACGCCGCGUGAACGAAGAAGGUCUUAGGAUCGUAAAGUUCUGUUGUUAGGGACGAAGGGUAAGAAUCAUAAUAAGGUUUUUAUUUGACGGUACCUAACGAGGAAGCCACGGCUAACUACGUGCCAGCAGCCGCGGUAAUACGUAGGCGGCAAGCGUUGUCCGGAAUUAUUGGGCGUAAAGGGAGCGCAGGCGGGAAACUAAGCGGAUCUUAAAAGUGCGGGGCUCAACCCCGUGAUGGGGUCCGAACUGGUUUUCUUGAGUGCAGGAGAGGAAAGCGGAAUUCCCAGUGUAGCGGUGAAAUGCGUAGAUAUUGGGAAGAACACCAGUGGCGAAGGCGGCUUUCUGGACUGUAACUGACGCUGAGGCUCGAAAGCUAGGGUAGCGAACGGGAUUAGAUACCCCGGUAGUCCUAGCCGUAAACGAUGGAUACUAGGUGUGGGAGGUAUCGACCCCUUCCGUGCCGGAGUUAACGCAAUAAGUAUCCCGCCUGGGGAGUACGGCCGCAAGGUUGCAACUCAAAUGAAUUGACGG